CUGUUUUUGGUCAGACAAGCACAUAACCCCGCCCCAAACUCACGUCAUUGGUUCAGACACUGGUGCUAUGCUUGCUUGGCUACUUGCAGAAAUAGACCAAUGGCGCAGGGGGAAACUUUUUGUGGAAAUGAACACGCAGUUUAAGCAGCAAUAAGAGAAAAUAUUUUAACCCCACGCCAAAAUAAGACGAAAAAAGGACAAAGGGAAAUAGUGGCAGUGAUAGAAAAUGGAAGACAAGGACAGGAAGUGACACAAGCUGGACUUGCAUUGACCACCUGAGCAGCACAAUUCAAAAUCAUGUGCACUAGUCUAUGGCUUUGACACAACAUUCAAUUCUCUUUUUGAAACUCUCUACAGAUUCUGUCAUUGAAGCCUGCUGUGGGACAGGAGGAGCGAGCAACUCUUUGUGGCCAUGAAGACAUCUCUGUUCAAUGUGAUGCUCGGUUGAGAAGCCCCCCUGCUGCUCUGAAAGCCUUUUGGAGGCUUCAAUGAAUUCUUUUUUUUUAAGACUUGCAUUGCGCUCUGAAGUAAGUUUCAAAAACCUGUGUGUACCGAGUGUAGAGUUGGGGUGGGUCAGCCUGUUGAGAAUUGAUGAUUCCUCUGCCACAAGAAGUUCAAAUGGUCUUGCAUGAAGUGUGUAUAAACAAGAUAGGAGUAAACAUGUUUACUUAAAGGUACGCUACGGAAAGUUUUUCUUUAGAAAUGAACAAGAUACUAGUAUGUAAAAAUGUUUCCUUUCCAAAUAACUUUAUGUUUGAACUACAGACAUAGAGUCCAUAAUUCCAGUGUGCUUUUAAAGGGACAGGUAUAAAAUCUUUAGUCCUACCUUGACGCCUGCUUAUAAUAAGGUAUUUAUAAAGUUACAUUUGGACCCAAAUCAGUUUUUACAA